rnacentral:rRNA from 1 species
GUASGUGGCAAGCGUUGUCCGGAUUUACUGGGCGUAAAGAGCGCSCAGGCGGUCGUUCAAGUCGCGUGUGAAAGCCCCCGGCUCAACUGGGGAGGGUCACGCGAUACUGAUCGACUCGAAGGCAGGAGAGGGAAGUGGAAUUCCCGGUGUAGUGGUGAAAUGCGUAGAUAUCGGGAGGGACACCAGUGGCGAARGCGACUUCCUGGCCUGUUCUUGACGCUGAKGCGCGAAAGCUAGGGGAGCAAACGGGAUUAGAUACCCCGGUAGUCCUAGCCGUAAACGAUGGACACUAGGUGUUGGUGGUAUCAWCCCCGCCAGUGCCGAAGCUAACGCAUUAAGUGUCCCGCCUGGGGAGUACGGYCGCAAGGCU